GAUGAACGCUGGCGGCGUGCCUAAUACAUGCAAGUCGAGCGAACAGACGAGGAGCUUGCUCCUCUGACGUUAGCGGCGGACGGGUGAGUAACACGUGGAUAACCUACCUAUAAGACUGGGAUAACUUCGGGAAACCGGAGCUAAUACCGGAUAAUAUAUUGAACCGCAUGGUUCAAUAGUGAAAGACGGUUUUGCUGUCACUUCUAGAUGGAUCCGCGCCGCAUUAGCUAGUUGGUAAGGUAACGGCUUACCAAGGCAACGAUGCGUAGCCGACCUGAGAGAGUGAUCGGCCACACUGGAACUGAGCCACGGUCCAGACUCCUACGGGAGGCAGCAGUAGGGAAUCGUCCGCAAAGGGCGGAAGCCUGACGGAGCAACGCCGCGUGAGUGAUGAAGGUCUUCGGAUCGUAAAACUCUGUUAUUAGGGAAGAACAAAUGUGUAAGUAACUAUGCACGUCUUGACGGUACCUAAUCAGAAAGCCACGGCUAACUACGUG
rnacentral:rRNA from 1 species